rnacentral:lncRNA from 1 species
CUGUGCAGCAGGUCCCCAUCCCCUACAACUGGAGGGCACUGAGCUUGGCCUGUCAGCAUCCAGUCCUCUUCACACUCCUGAACUCAGUAGGGAAUGAGGACAAAUCACACCGCAGGACAACACAACCCACACCAGUCUCCAGCCAAGGAAAGUGCCCAAGCAGAUAAGACGACACACUGUUCUUAGAAUGGAAAUACCGAACUCUAUUUAGUUACCACACCCACAAGUUCUUAAACUGAGGCAGUGUCAGCAAACACUACAACAGCACAACUUUUCUUUCCUGAGAGAAGAAGAAAUCCAGUGGACAGCAGUACCUUUCUUCUUGAGAUAGAGAAUUCCUUUUCGCACUGCUUGCAGUGUGUUGCUUCGUCAUCUUUCAGCCAGGUAUGACCCUAAGAAAUUGCAACAAAAUGCUCACGUUAGAGAUAAGUACAUCCAUAAGGCUCAGAAGCAGUUUACCCACAGUGUUUGUAAUUCUUUUUCCAAAAGCCAUCUUUUUAAAGUAGUGUAAAAUGAGUUCACUGUGGGGAACACUUCACUGGUGUUAAGUGAAAUGCAUGUUUAAGCCAGAACAUCCACAAAAUAAUAGAGUACCUUCAGUGCUUUGUUUACUUCUUUAAUGUCUUCCAUCUUCAACUUAGAUCUGGAGGAAAAAAAGAAGAAAUUAUUCCCUCUGCGUGUUGUGUUCAGUUUUACCUGCCCUUCCCCUGUGCAGCCACUGAAUCUGUUCUUCAGUCUGCUCGCUGUUACCAUUCUGAACCACUCAGUAUCACCAGGAAAUGUUUCUACCUCAGAGUAUGCCCUCUUUUCGAUAUAUUCAGAAGCAAUGUGGAAAAAGCAGAGUUCUACUUUAUGAACUAAGCAUUUACUGUACUGUUUCUUAUCCCUGCCCAUUCACUCACACAAGGAUGGCUGUUCAGCUUCGCCAUGUGCUGUAGCUGCCUCCUAAAACUGUCACAUCUACUUAUUUUACAAGUGGAUGCAAUUUCAACUUCUUUGUAAUUAAUUAGAAACCCUGUCCUCCAAAGUCAUGUCACCCCCAGUUCAACUCCUAGAACUCACUGGCUGAGAUGAAGCCCCAUUUCUUGCAGAGCUUGCUCCUGUUCUUCACAGACUUUCUCUAGCUGCUGCUUCUCAUCUUGCAAUUUUCUCAGCUCCUGUAAAAUCAAACGCAAAAAUCAAGUUUGUGUGCUAAGGGAGAUCUGUGACACAGUCUAUCCAAAAUACCAAAGCAAUUCACAAGCAUAAACUUCUUUACAAAGUUGCCUAUUUCUAAGGGUUCAUUUUUAGCUUUAGGUGGGGGAACCACCCAUGGAUUCUUGCAGAGUGAGAACAAUGAAGUCAUUUAUCCAUAUUUACCAGACAAAAAAGGAAGAUUCUCAGGCUUUAACCAUCUUUGAGCAUAGCCAGAAUGCAGCAGUCCUAUGGCCACAAACGUGUUAAGAAAAGCCCCUCUAUCUCAUUUGUUCUCAGUGCUUGCAGGUAUGUUUCAAGCCAGCUUUAAUUCUGAACACUGGGCAUGUCUGCACCAUGCGUACCUUUUUCAGUCCUUCCAUUUGUUCCAAUUCUGUUUUAAGCAGAGAGGUGGCAUCCUUCUCUCGGUGUAGUUCUCUUUGCAAAGUUUGUCUCUGUUCCUUUUCAGAUUUUAAUUCCUUUUCCAGAGUUGAGCUGUUUAAAAAAUAAUUGAUUCAGAAGAACUCUACAGCAGUAAAACAUCCUAUGGCAUUUAAGGAUAUCAACAAUAUGAGAAGAAAACUUGUCCUAAAGAGGACAAAACCUACACCAGUAUUCUGCCAAAGGAAAGAACAGAGAUGUUACAGCAGCAGACAAAAAAAAACAAAAACAAAACAUGGUAAUAUUUAGAGAUUACAGAAAACAAGCAGUAAAACUGGUGAAUAGCCAGAAUCUCCACAAAUAUGUAUUUGACUACUUGUGUUCCAAUGGCCAUGUCUGAAAUGACACUCUACCCUAAAGUGCAAACAGUGAAAGAAACUUUUUAUGUAUUACAAGCCUAAGAGGAUAAGAACACCAAUCCCCAGUCCCCCUUCAAGAAAUCCCAGUUCCUGUGGAUGACAGUCACUGAUACACUAAGCCUACACGACUGAGCACUAAAAGCACUUCUUAAACAAAUAGUAGAAAUGAAGGAAAAUAAAAAGAAAGGAAAACUGAUGAGAUGAAAUACCAAUGAAGUACCAUUUGCUAUCCAGCUGGGACAUUUGUUGCCGACAAGUGUCAAGUCUGCUGGCGAGCUCUUGCUUCAUCUUGUUGCAUCUUUCUUCUGCAGCUUGCCUUGCCUUUUCUGCAUGCUGCAAUCUGCAAAGUAAAGAACACACAUAUUUGCUGACAACUCACAUUUCCCUCAUCUAUUCACUGCCAUUUUGUUCUUCCACAUUUUUCACGUACAUCUUUACAGAAAGUAGAACUGAAGAUAUCAGCAGAGAAAAGAGAAGUUCUAGAAAGCUGUUUCUGUAAAACUCAGAAGUCAUACCUGCUCUUAAACCAAUGUCAACACAUCUUUUAAACAGUCUGCCUACAUAAGAGCUGUGAUUUUCAGAUGAGUCAACGAUGUGCAUAUCUGCUUGGGCAAAGGGAACAGAUACGCACGAAGUGUGGUAACGGAGAAAGGGAAAAAGAGCAUUAUGUGGCAUGCAUGCCCAAGUACCUUCAGGAGACAUUUGAGAGUGCUGUACUGAGAAAUAGAAAACCAUUUUAUAAUAGUCUCAGUCAGAACCCUUCUGACCAAUGGUAUUGAGCUUCUAAUUAUUACCUCUCUUCCAUUUGUUUCAUAGCAGACAUCAUCUCAUUCGUUUUUCCUUCGAAAGAAGAUAUCGCUUCUGUUUUCUGCUGUAAAGAACACUCUGCAUUCUGCAGGAAUAAAGCAGGCGGAUAUUGCAGACAAUACACUGUAGUCUUCUGAAGGUCAGUCAGUCACUAGAUAAAGGCUGUUCAGUUUGGGACAAAGCGUGCCUAGGUCUAACUGCAGUGUACAAACAAAACCCUGAUAAUGGCAGAGCAGACAUUCCUCAACUGCUCUGUUAAAAGUUCAGAACAAAAAACUUUAUUAUGAUAACAUUUACACAGAGAUCACCUACAAGCCAAAAGUCUUCUUAAGGAGUCUGAAGAAGGGAACUGUCACAUUAUAUUUCAACAUUAUCAAUUACGUUACUAUUGUGAUUUGAAUGCAAAAACUGGACUUAAAGGGCAUUGUGUAGCACGGAAAUAAAAAACACUGCCAAAAACCACCAACAAAAAAACGUGGCUUUCUAUUGGUUUAGGGAAGCUUGCUGGUUUUUUUGGUAAGCAACGUUAAAUGCAGUGCAACCGAGAGGCAAAACAACACAAAGGGAAGAAGCAGCAGGGCAGUUCUGGGCUGCAGGAAGCAACUGUGUUUUUUAAAGACUGCUCUUUUGGUGGUUAGAACGAAGACCCUCAAAAAUCAGCUUCCCACACUGCCAGAGCUCUGUGUUUCUCCAUAACUCACUCAGCACUUCCUGGAUGAUCCUACAGCACAUUGCUCAGCAUACUCAAGUCCCUGUUUCUAAAAACACCCAAUCUCAUAUUAAUAAUAAUAAAAUAUAGCUAAAAAAGAAACCAAACAACUUCUAAAAUAGAUACUUCUAAGAAAAUGGAUGCACCAAUUACUGCAGAUAUACACCAUGUGCAAUACCAUCACAUCAAGGCCAUCACUGCAGCUGCUCUAUUCUCCACUAUGACAUACCUGAGAUUUGUGAAACAUCUGCAAGUUAAUUGCUUUCACUUCUUCUAACUGUUGGCGAAGCGCAACCAAGGUAUCUUGUUUCUCAUGAGUAUCUUUUUCCAGAAGUUUCAUGGCUAUUUCCAUUUCUGUUUUCAUUCCAAUCUGUAGCUCCAACUCUUUCUCUAGUUCCUUACAAAGAGAUUUCCCAAUUACUGCUAGGUAAUCACACCAGGGAGAAGUACUUCCAAAACCCACAUAAAACCAGACAGAAAUCCUGCAUUACUCUCUUAGGUACAGAUCUACAGUUUUACAGAAAUGUUAGGUCUCAAAUAAUACAGUAAGUUAGCAAGAGCAAAAGACUAUUUCAGCUCUCCAGAUCAUGGCAGCAGAUCUGAGCUCUCGCCCUUAAAUGUACAGCGUGGUGUGCACCCCAGCUGUCCAAUCACCUGCAAUAUGGAGAUGGUUUGACUUUGAAACACAAGCUUCAACAAGCCUUGGCACUCAUUUCACCAGUCACUGCCUCGCAGGUAACUGUGAAAGUGACUGCUGGCACUCCAUAAAGACAGCUGCCUUUCUCUGUGUUCUUAUCUUAAGUCUCUGCUCUAAUAAUCCUGGUACACUGUUAAACAGGGAAAGGCCCAGAUUUCCAGUUCUUUACUGACACUGUAAAUGAGCUAUGAGCAGCAGCUUCCUUCCAAAUCCAUCAGGAAUUCUGAAUACUUUCGAGAAGUGCACAGCAUACAUCAUAUGCUCCUAAUUCUAGUUCAGGGCAGGCAGUCCUGUACCUACAGAGAGUAAAAUGAAAGGUUAGUUUCCUUACCAGCCUAAUUUUUUUUUCUUCUUUCAACUGCUUCCAGACAUCACUGUACAUUUCAUCCAGACCCUGCCGGGAUUGCCGGUAAGUAUCCAGUUCUACUUUUGUAUCCUCUUUUGUUACCUAGAGGAAACAAUUGCAAAGGCCACAUAAGACCACAAACCUACAAUUCAGCUGUAACUGAGAAAUACUCUUUCACAGAAGGAUUUAUGUGCGAUUUCAAGCAAAAUCCUACUGUUUCACAAUUUAAAAAUUAGCUGACAUAAAUAGUCAUUUACAACAGUGUGUUAAAUUGUGCUCCGUAGCAUUCCAGUUCAAAGCUGUUUCAAGGCCUCUAGCUGAACAAGAGAGCUUGCUUAUUUUAAGGGCCCUCAUCUUCAAAUCAUGGUCCUACCUCAACACUUUUUUCACUUCGUUCACGAAUUAAUUCAUUUUGUUGUUUUAACUGCUGCUGCUCUUCCUGAAGUGAUCCAAUUCGGUCAGUUGCUGCUGCAAGCUCUUCCUGCAGCUUUGAGUUGGUCUUUUCUAAGCAGUCUAUUUUGUUCUGAAGAUCUGUGACUGUGCAACUUAGAUGCCUGUUCAGUUCUUCUACAUAAUGCUUCUGAUCAAGGACAGCAGUAAUGUCUCCAUCUUGUUUGCCAUCACUGUCUUGUGUUUCCUUAAGGUACAAAGAAAAAUCAAUCACUCCAACCUGAAAAACAUAUUUAAGAAAUUAACAUGCUUUCACAACGCAAUUCUGAGUAGCAGAAGGCAUUUCUUUAUAUUUGGAAAAAAAGGUAAAAAUCUAGAAGUUCAGAUUUGGAAAGACAGAUAAGGCCUAUAUCCUUCACAACCAAAGCAAAUUUCCAAACCAGUAUUUGUCAACAUCAAAGCAACCAUAUUCAGUGCAGCUUCCCUGAAGUUAUUAUUUUUGGACAGCAUUUCCAUAAACUGCUACUGAAGGAGAUGGAUACUUUCAUACUUGUCAGUGUGGAAACAUGACAAGCUGCUAUAUGGGACAUUCCUGCCACUCUCUCCCCCCCACCCUAAGGAAAAACACCACUCACCCUCAAAACAAAAGACCCCAUAAGUCCUUAGCAGACUGAUUGUGACAUCUCAUGUAUUUUGCUCAGUUCAUCUAAUGUUUUGUUUCUUAUACAAGGAAUUCAAACGUCCACUUACAAAAGCAAUAACAAUCCUAUCUACAUAACAGAUUUAGGAAUUCUAGGUUCAUCUCUGUAAAGUAUUUAUUGAAGUGCUUAAUUCAACUCAAUUAUUUUAAGGACUGAUCAUAUUUAAACUUAAUCUUCACCUGGGAAUCCAAGUCUUCUCCUUUCAAGCAAAGGUUGGCAUCAAUAACAUUCAGUCCAACUAAGAGACCCACAAUGACUGCUCCCUCCUCCUCCAUCAUCAACGCAUCAGGUUCAUAAAAUUCACUAGAAGAAAUAAGAUAAGGCAUCAUUGAACAUCAUAAUCACAACAGUACCUCAAUCACUAAAAUAAUUUAAACAGUAAUGUUGUGCUUAUGAAGCUCAGCUGAUCAGCCUCUCCCUGCUAACAUAUUGCACGAGGCAGAAGAUGCAAAACACUCACAGAAAAUUCUCCUGACAAUAAGUUCACUGCAAGAACAAUGAACAACUUAUUCCCUUGCAGAUUGCAAGAACAAGCUCAAAGUUAAAUGGGUCACUUAAUGACAUUUUUCUACAGCAAUGCAAGGAUUCAGUGAAUGCAAGGUAUUGGUGUUGUUACCUUAAUAGAUGUUUAUGGUCCAAAAGCACUUUAAGAUAAUCCGCCAGCUUCUUUUGCAUGAGUGCCAGAUAAAGCCAAGCCCUUCCUCUUCCUACAGCAGUCCUAAAAUGCAACAUUAUGGUUUUGGUAAAGCCAAAAUGUUUAAGUAGAUCUGUGCAAUUGAAAAUUCUCUCUCUACAAAGGGAGAUGAAGGCACUUAUUUACUAAAUUAAAUCCCAAAGGAAACAGUUUUGUGGCCAGAGCAAGAGAAGCAUUUGAUUACAUUCUGUUGUUCCAGUGUCAGAAAAGUAUAUUGUAAAAUCUUCGUAAGUCAGAAAGCCCUACGUAUUUUUAGCUAACACCAGAACCCAACCGUUCAUACAUUUUGGGAAUAAAACUAGUCUCUUCGUUAUCCUGAGGCUUCAAAUGAAAUGCACAUACACACAAAGUUAGACAAAGCCAUAAAAGUGAUGGGAACAAGGGGAAAGAACACACCUGUGAAGAUCCUACAGUCAUUCUGAGCAAGCUUACAGAAAUUUUGCAAUGCUGUUUUUGAAUGUGACUGCACUAUGUGAAACAGAAGAGCGGAAUAUUAUGAGACAGUCUCCUUAUCUCUGGGAGCACUCAAUGCCUCCUACGUACUCUGUUUUUCUCUUUGGAAUGAGAUCUCAUUAAUGAAGCUAAGAAACCACCCAAAGGAUUGUAUUUCCCAGCAGAGUAAGUGAAACACACGAUUCCCAACAAGGAACUUACUUCAGCUCUGGUAGAUUUUUGACACUAGUUGCUAUAUCUGAUGCUUCAGGACACAGCUUUUCCACCAGCUCCAGAGGACCAAAGAAUGAUUUGUUCUGUCCAAUAAAGGUCUUCUUCGCUACAGGGAGCACACAGAGAUGUUUGCGAUGAGAACUGACAGCCUCCCACUUCCC